AACGGGUGAGUAACACGUGAGUAACCUGCCCUUAACUCUGGGAUAAGCCUGGGAAACUGGGUCUAAUACCGGAUAGGAGCGCCUACCGCAUGGUGGGUGUUGGAAAGAUUUAUCGGUUUUGGAUGGACUCGCGGCCUAUCAGCUUGUUGGUGAGGUAAUGGCUCACCAAGGCGACGACGGGUAGCCGGCCUGAGAGGGUGACCGGCCACACUGGGACUGAGACACGGCCCAGACUCCUACGGGAGGCAGCAGUGGGGAAUAUUGCACAAUGGGCGCAAGCCUGAUGCAGCGACGCCGCGUGAGGGAUGACGGCCUUCGGGUUGUAAACCUCUUUCAGUAGGGAAGAAGCGAAAGUGACGGUACCUGCAGAAGAAGCACCGGCUAACUACGUGCCAGCAGCCGCGGUAAUACGUAGGGUGCGAGCGUUAUCCGGAAUUAUUGGGCGUAAAGAGCUCGUAGGCGGUUUGUCGCGUCUGUCGUGAAAGUCCGGGGCUUAACCCCGGAUCUGCGGUGGGUACGGGCAGACUAGAGUGCAGUAGGGGAGACUGGAAUUCCUGGUGUAGCGGUGGAAUGCGCAGAUAUCAGGAGGAACACCGAUGGCGAAGGCAGGUCUCUGGGCUGUAACUGACGCUGAGGAGCGAAAGCAUGGGGAGCGAACAGGAUUAGAUACCCUGGUAGUCCAUGCCGUAAACGUUGGGCACUAGGUGUGGGGGACCAUUCCACGGUUUCCGCGCCGCAGCUAACGCAUUAAGUGCCCCGCCUGGG
rnacentral:rRNA from 1 species